rnacentral:rRNA from 1 species
UACAGAGGGGGCAAGCGUUGUUCGGAAUUACUGGGCGUAAAGGGCGCGUAGGUGGCCUUCUAAGUUGAACGUGAAAUCCCUCGGCUCAACUGAGGAACUGCACAGGAAACUGCUUGGCUUGAGUUCGGGAGAGGGAAGCGGAAUUCCGGGUGUAGCGGUGAAAUGCGUAGAUAUCCGGAGGAACACCGGUGGCGAAGGCGGGUCUCUGGACAGUUCCUGACGCUGAGGCACGAAGGCUAGGGGAGCAAACGGG